UGUGAAAUGGUGCUUGGAAGCUGGGUGAAAAGACGAGACUAGUGAAGGCGGUUGAACGUUAGGAUUGGGCGCAAAUUGCGGUUUAAGUUGGAGUGCGGAGGCUUCGCUGGUCAGGUUGGUCGACGAGAACCGAGUGAGUGGAACAAAGUGGUGAAGAAGAUGCCACUGAGAAACAAGAUUUUAAGCCGGAAGAAGACUGCGUCAUACUGCGUACGUUCCGGAACACGGUGAAGACUUCUAGUACUUUCCGCCUAACCUGCCCGGGCGAAUCUCGUGGGUGCCUGCUUAAAGGUUCUCGGCAAUUUCACAGUGCUACACGAUUGAAAAAUUCCUGAAUAAAUACCCGGACGCCACCCUGCUGGACGUUACCCGCAAGGAGAAGCGCCUGUCGAGCGCCAUGACGAAAAUUUGAUGCAAAUCAUGGUCGAAACACCACGCAGAAAAAUUAGGCCUAUUUGAAUCAUCAAAAUAUUUUGUUGUUUCAAGUUAACGAUUUUUUGUUGAAAUAAAUCUCAAAACCAAUUGAAACAACUCUAAAUUUAGAGUUGAAUUUACUCUGUGUUUUUUGUCAAUUCGUUUUGGAAAUAUUAACAAAAUUAUUGCGUUGAUUCUACCAUGAACGACGUUGAAUCAACUUUAAUGUGUUUUUUGAUUCAAAUGAAAUUAAUUGAUAUUCACACGUGUUGCUAUCUGUCAAAAUGUUCAGUUUUCCUGAUUUUGAUCAGUGGCGAAGUUCGUUUAAUUCGUGCCGUGCGGCAAUUACGUUCGUGGUAUUUCAUCCAUGUAUUACGCCUGCCGUGAGCAAAGUUUUACGUGAGAAGUUAGAGCGCGGAAUUCGGGGUGAUUUGAUCGCCACCCAACUAAGCCAACUCAUCAUCGACAAGCGGAAGCUGCCACCAAGUUUAGCAGACUUCACAAAAUUCCCCAACAUAUCAACCCUCUACGGAACAUGACCGACCUCUGCAGAAAACAACGUAACCUCGAUCCACCGGGGACGCCAAUGGCAACAUGGCCAAUUCAACAUGGAAGGCAAUUUCACCAACUCGUUGUUUCAUCAGACGGUGGCGGAGGCAAGGACACAAGGUGCGGUUCAGCAGUACUCGGACAGAACAAGGGGAAACACUCUAAGUAGCAGAUUUAAAAAUAUAUUUUUCCAAUAAAAAAUGCUAAUAUCGAUGAA